UUCUCCAAAGCUGAGCAGUGAGCGCACUUCAAAAAUCCACCCAUUUCCUUUCACUAUUUAGAGCUUCCCUUCCAAGAAUCUCCUCUAACUUUGACACCAGAAUUCCAGCUCGAACAACACCCACACAUCUUAAUUCGCAUUGAAAUAAGGUUCACGGAUACGUUAUUGCUGUCUGUUGAGACGGAGGACGAUUGUUGGGAAAUUUCAGCUCUUCUGAUUACAUUUUGAAUCCGAAACUGGAGGAAAUUAUUAAUUUUUACAGAGGGGCAAACCGCGGAUUCUACGCAAUCGUUCUCCAAAAACAAGUUUGAUAAGGUGAUACAUUAGCAUUAUUCAAUUGUUAAUUUGGGUGUAUGUAGCUGUGUACAAGAAUUAUUUUUUAUAAUUACAUAGGUAGAUAGCUAUAUAUUGGUUGCAAUAAUUUUGCUAAUGUAUAGAUUACCCUUAGAAGAAGCUAUACCUUUGGAUGAAGCCACCUGCUCCGCCGCCGCCGGUAUCUAAACCCUACUUUUUCUACGGCCACCGCAAACCCUCCCAGAACCGCCCCACCGUCCGCGGCGGUUUAUUCUCCAACCGCCAAACUCUGAACCCGAAGAAACUCGGCCGCCCCACCGAGGAGCCGUUCGACCUCCAGAAAUGGGACCCGGACCAUAAGGCAAACCAAAUACCCCUCCAUGUGAAAGACCCUUCUGAGAGAUUCUUCAUUUUAGCCAAGAACUUGUCCCCUAUCGCUAGAUACAUUGUAGAUGCCUUCAGAAACCAUAAGUACUGGACCCCGGAGCUCGUGGCCGACCUUAAUCGUCUGCGGCGUGUGACACCGAAGCUGGUCUCCGAGGUUCUCAAGUUUCCUGACGUUGAUCCGAGGCUCUCAUCCAAGUUCUUUAACUGGGCUGGCAAGCAGAAAGGCUAUCGGCAUGAUUUUGCCUGUUACAAUGCUUUUGCUUACUUUCUGAAUCGGGCAAAUCACUUUCGGGCCGCUGAUCAGGUGCCUGAAUUGAUGCAUAUGCAAGGGAAGCCACCUACUGAGAAACAAUUUGAAAUCUUGAUUAGGAUGCACGCUGAUGCUAAAAGAGGUCUGCGGGUACACUAUGUCUAUGAGAAAAUGAAGAAGUUUGGGGUAAAACCACGAGUAUUUUUGUAUAACAGAAUUAUGGAUGCAUUAGUUAAGACUAACCAUGUAGAUUUAGCCAUGUCAGUUUAUAAUGACUUCAAGGCGGAUGGUUUGGUGGAAGAAAAUAUGACUUAUAUGAUUUUGUGUAAGGGCUUAUGUAAAGCUGGGCAGAUGGAUGAAGUGUUUAGCCUUCUGGAUAAGAUGAGGAAGAAUCUGUCCAAGCCAGAUGUUUUUGCGUACACGGCUAUGAUAAAGGUGUUGAUCUCAGAAGAUAAUUUGGAUGGUUGUUUAAUGGUGUGGGAAGAGAUGCUAAAGGAUCGUGUUGAUCCUGAUGUCAUGGCUUAUACUACUUUGGUCAUGGCGCUUUGUAAAGGUAACCAUGUUGAUAAGGGUUACAAAUUGUUUAAGGAGAUGAAAGAGAGAAAUUAUUUGAUAGACAGGGCAGUUUAUGGAACUCUGAUUGAAGCAUAUGUUGUAGAUGAGAGGGUGGGUUUAGCUUGUGGAUUGCUCAAAGAUUUACUGGAAUCGGGGUACAGGGCAGAUUUGGCAAUAUAUAACUCCCUUAUAAAAGGGUUGUGUACAGCAAAGAAGGUUGACAGAGCUUAUAAGCUUUUCCAUAUGACAGUUCGAGAAGAUCUUCAACCAGAUUUUGAUACUGUUAAUCCCAUCUUAGUGUCUUAUGCAGAGUCAAAAAGAUUAAAAGUAUUUUACGAGUUUCUUGAGCAAAUGCAGAAACUGGGGCUUUUUUCCACUGAAUAUCUUGUCAAAUUCUUUUCUGGCCUGGUAGAGAGGGUGGAUGGUGUCGUGGUGGCUCUGGAAGUGUUUGAGUACUUGAAAAUGCAAAAGUAUAUUACUUUUCCAGUUUACAAUAUACUUAUGGAGGCCCUUUACAAGAGUGGUGAGGAAAAGAAGGCAUUGGCACUCUUCAAUGAACUUAAUGAACUUGGCAUGGUACUCGACUCAUUGACUUACAGUAUUGCAAUUUUAUGUUUUGUUGAAGUUGGAGACGUAAAAGAGGCUUGCGUUUGGUACAACAGGAUGGUAGAAAUAUCAUCUCUUCCUUCACUUGCUGCUUAUUCGUCUCUUGUUAAAGGCCUUUCUAAAAUGGGAGAGUUAGAUGCUGCUAUGUUGCUGAUUCGUGACUGCUUGGCCAAUGUGGAAAGUGGUCCAUUGGAAUUUAAGUACACUCUCACAAUUAUCCACGUUUGCAAGUCGAAUGAUGCCACAAAGGUAAUUCAAGUUGUAAAUGAAAUGGUUGAACAAAGUUGUCCUCCAAAUGCUAUUACCUGUGCUGCUAUUAUUUAUGGCAUGUGCAAGCACGGAACAAUGGAAGAGGCGAGGAAAGUCUUCUCAAUCAUGAAAGACUCCAAAUAUCUCAGUGAAGCUGAUGUAAUAGUCUAUGAUGAGAUGCUUGGAGACCACAUGAAGAAGACGACUGCAGGUUUACUGUUGUCCGGGAUAAGAUUCUUCGGCCUGGAGUCAAAUUUGAAGGCAAAGGGCUGUUCGGUUCUCUCCAGUUGAACACAUGAGCCAAACAAUGAUGAUCCCUCUGAGCCAGGAUUUUUCUCGGUGGAUGAUACAAAGACAAGAAGGUGGCUAUGCUCGGCUUAAACGUUGUAUAUUGAUUGGUGACCAUCACCAGCUGUCAGGUGCCUCCUGUUGUGAGCUUUUCAGAAGUACAGCCAUAUGGAUCAAAGUCGUUUCACAAGAUUCUUUUCCAUUUGGGAAUUCCCUAUAAUGAGCUCAACGCCCAGGGAAGAGCUAGACCUAGUUUAGCUCGACUUUACAAUUGGAGGUAUAAAGCUCUUGGAGAUCUUCCAUGUGAGAGAGAAUAAAAUCUUUUGCCAGGAAAAUGAGUGGUCAGCCGUAGAUGUGUUCCAUACGAUUUUAUUGGCCCACACCCACAAGGUCUGGGUGUGCUGGCUGGGCCAGCUCAUCUUGGUUACAGUUUCAGGCAUAGACUUUGAGAAGAAACUGUCAAAUUCUUGGAGCUCGCGUGCCUCUAACCUUAUAAAACGCAGUAAAACAAUAGGAUUGGAGCAUUUCAUUUUUAUGUAGGAACAGACGCUUGGUGAUUAUAGCAUGCUAGUUUUAAAGAGGCUUACUGCAAGACAAUUUCUCAGUAAAAGUUUAGUAUUUCAAGGGAUAGUGAACUGCAUCCAUGAUACAAGCAAGAUUGGAGCUGGGAAGAUGCAGCUUGAGGAGCAAAUGUAUUGACGUGGAGCAGCUUCUGGAAGACGUGGUUGAUCUGUGUCAUCCCGCAGGCAUGAGGAAUGGCGUAGACGUGGUCCUGGAUAGCUCCAUCUCAAGAUGUUUGGGCUAGAGGUGUGACAGAAGCAAGUUGAAGCAAUGCUGACUCGUUAUCAGCUUUAGUACUGCACUGUUUUUGUUACCUAUACCUGUUCUUAAUUCCAUUUCAUGUAAUGUUAUCUGGUAAUUACAUUUUGCGUGCGUCUUGGUCUCGUGACGGAAGAUAGAACUCGUGAAUUCGGAGAGUUGGAGAUGAGUGACAUUUCAGUGAGCAUGAAGCUUGGUGAGACGUUGCUGUAGCCGAAGCACGAUCCUCAAAUCAGCAUCCUCCAAAGCGUCACGAUAGAUUGUCAAAGUCUAUUUAGCUUGUGAAAUUAAGUUUACUUCUACAAGGAAUAUGUUUCGCUUACAGAAAAUACAAUACAGAUACGUUUAAUUUUUA